UUGGCCUAGCUGCAGUUAAAUAACAAAAAGUCCAUUGCAAUUUAGCAAUGGAAAACAUUGAAUUGAAAAUAUUAUGUAUAAAAAUCCAACACAUUCAAAACAUUAACAUUGCCUUCAAAAUAAACCAUUCCAUGCACUGCAUAGACUGCCCACUAGUCUUCUAAUCUAAUCUUCUAUCUUCUAACUAUAUUAUAAGAGUGGGUUUUGGGUUACUGUCCACAAGCUAAUUGGCCAUCUAAGUCGAGGCGAGUUGAGUGAGCCGUGUUAGCCGAGCCAUUUGGAAGAGUGCUAUCAGCUGUGGUUUCAGAACAUUCACAUGACAACAAUCAUUUUCAUUUCUCUUUCUUCUCUGUUAUUUUUUUUUUUUUCCCUAACCCAUGCUCUUUACUCCACUUCCCCCAUUUCACAGCUUGUGAUUUCGAACAACACUUCACCACGGGUGAUUACGAAAUUCCACGACGAUUCAAUUCGAGCUUCCAUUCGACCCUUGGUUUCACUCGACCUCUCUACAAUUUCACUGAUGAGGUAUGAAGCAGGGUUCCUGGGGUUCUGCUAAAAAUCGGCCGCCUACUAAAGAAGAAAAACCGGUGACCUCCUUUUGAUUUUCGAACUUUUCUCUUGCCUAUUAUCAUUGUUUUUUCUUGCCUUUGUGACCUCCAAAUCAUCACCGUGUCCAUUGUAGGUGAGAUUGAGGAGCAAUUGAGAUGAAUAUAUUAAUUGUGGGUUUGAGAAAUU